rnacentral:siRNA from 1 species
UGGAUCUCUUCUCUCCUCUGUCCU